CGAAGGGGGCUAGCGUUGUUCGGAAUUACUGGGCGUAAAGCGUAUGUAGGCGGAUCGUUAAGUCGGGGGUGAAAUCCCGAGGCUCAACCUCGGAACUGCCUUCGAUACUGGCGAUCUUCGAGUCCGGGAGAGGUGAGUGGAACUCCGAGUGUAGAGGUGAAAUUCGUAGAUAUUCGGAAGAACACCAGUGGCGAAGGCGGCUCACUGGCCCGGUACUGACGCUGAAAUACGAAAGCGUGGGGAGCAAACAGGAUUAGAUACCCUGGUAGUCCACGCUGUAAACGAUGGGUGCUAGCCGUUGGGCAGCAUGCUGUUCGGUGGCGCAGCUAACGCGUUAAGCACCCCGCUUGGGGAGUACGAUCGCAAGAUUA
rnacentral:rRNA from 1 species